rnacentral:lncRNA from 1 species
ACAUUUACAAGCUUCAUCGCACGUUACUUUCCAAAUGUCAGACAUUGCCUAUGUUCGUAUCGCAGUUCGUCAAUGCAGAGCGAUGAAAUCUCGCACCCAUCAGUUUCGUAGCGACAUUCACUUCGCUCGGUGUGUUUCAAGAGUUUAGCAGCUCUCGAUGUAGAAGCAAGUCGAGCGCUUUAGCUUUCCCACCUGAGUAAAUCUAUUCUCAUACUUCCCUAUCCGAUACCUUUCACAGCUGUAGUCUAUACAUCGUCGUUUAAUAUUCCGAUAUCAGAGGAAAAAAUUGUGUGAAGUCAUUGACGAAGGAAGCAAAACCUGUGUUCGUGUAGCUAUUUAGAAGAAAAGUGUGAAGUUCGGAAUUGAAACCAAUCAAUCACGGGAAACACCAUGCCACAGU